rnacentral:tRNA from 1 species
GGGGCUGGGACUCAGUGGCAGAGUCUCUGCUUUCCAUGCAGCAGGCCCCAGGUUCAAUCCUUGGCAUCUCCA